AUCUGCUCCAUCAGGAGUUCAUCUCACAAGCCCAGGACAGGAGCAAGAGGAACAAUAAUCACAGCAGUGUUCUUCCCUGUACAAAACAGCAAGAAACAGUCAACACAGAGUUGCCACUAUCUUUCUAGAAAAAACAAACACUCAUCCAGCAAUGGAGCCAGUUUACCCUUUUCAAGAGCAAGUACAACUUCAGCAAAUGUAGCACUACACACAAAUCAGAAAGCUUUUAACAAUGAAGAUGCAUAAUACAAUAGAAAGAAAGCACAGUAACAACAGCAGAAACCAAGGACCUAAGCUGCAACAAGAAAAAACUUACUCAAAUACAACAGCCAUCAGCAUGGAAAGAAAGAAAAGAAAAGACUUACCUUCACAAAGCCUCAAGCUGGACAACCUAAUGUCCUUGGCCUCUCCUCAAAGGAUUUACCUCCCACUCUAUGACUUGCUGUGUUGCCCUCUUAUGGAUGCCUUCAAGGACCUCAACAUCUUUUUUAAAUUGAGGAGUGCAGAACUAUACACAGUAUUAAAGACGGUUUGAACAACUGUGUGUCCAUGGAGCAGCCUCCAGCUACCAGCUCUCUUCUCUUUGCCCUGGAAGGGACCACUGAAUCAGAAGCUUCACAAAUACAUUGUCUGCUGGCUCAGCAAUAAGCCAAAAGCAUCCAAUAGCAGAUUCACCUCAGCCAUCUUGCUAAAGCAUUCCUUGAAACAUCCCCACGACGUCCUGGAUGGCACUGUUCACCAUAUACAAAAAUGACAAAUUUUGUUAAAACUGUAGCAUUUUUCACUGUAUUGUUGUGCUGUGUGUUUAUCUUAGGAUUUUCUUCAGCAUAGAACUGUCAGCACACAGAUGAGGAUCUAUGUAAUUAAUUUUUCAGGAAAGACAAGUAGAGCCAGUGGAAAAAAAGUAAAAUAAAGAGCAAGCUGGCAGCAAACCUUUAAGCAGGAUGACAAAAUUCUGGAGUGUGCCUUGCAAAGCAGUCAGCUUCUCUUGGAGUUCAGUAGCCAGCUGGAGGGUGUGAUGAUGCAGAGGAGAAAAUUGAAGCCAACCAAAAUAAAAUGAGGCAGGGCAGGAAAGGGGAUGGUGUGGGAGAAGUGAACCUAAGACUUGAAGUAGGUUUGUCUAUGCCUAAACCACUUAAUCUAUAGGCCGGAGGCUACAACAGCACUGAAAUUUGCUUUACGUCUUUUCUGUGACAUGUAAGAGAUAUAGCUAUAAUUUUCCUCUUGUAGGUUGUAUCUGCUAGGACCAGGCUGCAAGAUAAGAAAGUCACAAGCCACAUAAAUUCCAAGAUACUUUUUAUCUAGGAAUAGAAAGCUGUAGCCCUCACCU